AUUGAACGCUGGCGGCAGGCCUAACACAUGCAAGUCGAGCGGGGUUUUCGGACCUAGCGGCGGACGGGUGAGUAAUGCGUAGGAAGCUACCCGAUAGAGGGGGAUACCAGUUGGAAACGACUGUUAAUACCGCAUAAUGUCUACGGACCAAAGUGUGGGACCUUCGAGCCACAUGCUAUCGGAUGCGCCUACGUGGGAUUAGCUAGUUGGUGAGGUAAUGGCUCACCAAGGCGACGAUCUCUAGCUGGUUUGAGAGGAUGAUCAGCCACACUGGAACUGAGACACGGUCCAGACUCCUACGGAGGCAGCAGUGGGGAAUAUUGGACAAUAGGGCGCAAGCCUGAUCCAGCCA
rnacentral:rRNA from 1 species